GGAAAAAGAAAAUAAUUACCUUUUUCAGUUCUUGUAACGAAGUAAAAUUUUACUCUUCUUUGC
rnacentral:tRNA from 1 species